AACUUAAAUUCAAAUAGAACUCUCUAACCAAAUCAACAUAAGUAUUUUUCUUCAAUAGACAGUAAAACUCCUAUCCUUGAUUUUUAAUUUUUGAUCCAAUUGAGAACCCUUCUUUUUCAAAAAACUUAAAAUCUAUAUUUUUUUUUGGAUUUUACUUUUCGAUUGGAGAGUGGUACCUUACUUGGAUUAAGUGAAGAUUGUGAAGAAGCUAGAGCAGGACCUGGAACUGGGGUUGG
rnacentral:lncRNA from 1 species